UGGGGAAUAUUGCACAAUGGGCGCAAGCCUGAUGCAGCCAUGCCGCGUGUGUGAAGAAGGCCUUCGGGUUGUAAAGCACUUUCAGCGAGGAGGAAGGUGGUGAACUUAAUACGUUCAUCAAUUGACGUUACUCGCAGAAGAAGCACCGGCUAACUCCGUGCCAGCAGCCGCGGUAAUACGGAGGGUGCAAGCGUUAAUCGGAAUUACUGGGCGUAAAGCGCACGCAGGCGGUUUGUUAAGUCAGAUGUGAAAUCCCCGGGCUCAACCUGGGAACUGCAUUUGAAACUGGCAAGCUAGAGUCUCGUAGAGGGGGGUAGAAUUCCAGGUGUAGCGGUGAAAUGCGUAGAGAUCUGGAGGAAUACCGGUGGCGAAGGCGGCCCCCUGGACGAAGACUGACGCUCAGGUGCGAAAGCGUGGGGCAGCAAACAGGAUUAGAUACCCUGGUAGUCCAGCGCUGUAAACGAUGUCGAUUUGGAGGUUGUGCCCUUGAGGCGUGGCUUCCGGAGCUAACGCGUUAAAUCGACCGCCUGGGGAGUACGGCCGCAAGGUUAAAACUUAAAUGAAUUGAC
rnacentral:rRNA from 1 species